UAGGGAAUCUUCCGCAAUGGACGCAAGUCUGACGGAGCAACGCCGCGUGAGUGAAGAAGGAUUUCGGUUCGUAAAACUCUGUUGUUAGAGAAGAACAGCGCAUAGAGUAACUGUUAUGCGUGUGACGGUAUCUAACCAGAAAGCCACGGCUAACUACGUGCCAGCAGCCGCGGUAAUACGUAGGUGGCAAGCGUUGUCCGGAUUUAUUGGGCGUAAAGCGAGCGCAGGCGGUCAAUUAAGUCUGAUGUGAAAGCCCCCGGCUCAACCGGGGAGGGUCAUUGGAAACUGGUUGACUUGAGUGCAGAAGAGGAGAGUGGAAUUCCAUGUGUAGCGGUGAAAUGCGCAGAGAUAUGGAGGAACACCAGUGGCGAAGGCGACUUUCUGGUCUGUAACUGACGCUGAUGUGCGAAAGCGUGGGGAUCAAACAGG
rnacentral:rRNA from 1 species